GCUUGUCUCAAAGAUUAAGCCAUGCAUGUCUAAGUAUAAGCCUUUACACGGUGAGACUGCGAAUGGCUCAUUAAAUCAGAAACUGUUUAUUUGAUAGUGCCUACUACUUGGAUAACCGUAGUAAUUCUAGAGCUAAUACAUGCAGGAAGACCCGACUCACGAAGGGUUGUAUUUAUUAGAUAAGAAACCUUCCCCUUUGGGUUGCGUGCCGAGUCACAAUAACUGCUCGAAUCGCAUGGCUUCACGCCGGCGAUGGUUCAUUCAAAUUUCUGCCCUAUCAGCUUUCGAUGGUAGGAUCGAGGCCUACCAUGGCGUUUACGGGUAACGGAGAAUUAGGGUUCGAUUCCGGAGAGGGAGCCUGAGAGAUGGCUACCACAUCCAAGGAAGGCAGCAGG
rnacentral:rRNA from 1 species